GGAUAGUGUAAUCCACAUUGCCUAGUUUGGUUGUAGGAUAGGGUUUCCAAUUCGAAAUAAUCGUUACAAAGUUUCCAUCAUGUCCGGCAGCUACUGCGGAAGCCGGCAGAGGCAUAUUUUUCAAACCACCACCUCUUACCACUUCCUUCGCUUAUUUCAAUAUGGAUUGACUCGUCUGCAUUCCGUCUCAUAGCCGCAAGAGAGACAAGGUUUGCCCAAGGCAAUCUUGUUGACUGUUGAGGACCCAAGAACUUGAAAAUGAAUACUGCUGAAACACUUGUUGAUGAUGUUAUAAUUGUCGUUUUCUAUUGAUACUAUUUAAAUGUGUUGGAAUUUUUAUUGUCAUAAAUAAAAAUAUUUCUCAAUGUUACAA